GGGUCAGUAGGUUGGUCGUGCCACCGGUACGUAAUGGUCUCACUGAUUCCUCCUUCCUGAAGAACCGUAAUGCCAUUAAUUUGGUGUUGCGGGGAAACAGGACUGUUACUUUGAAAAAUUAUAGUGUUUAAAGCAAGCUAACGCUUGAAUACAUUAGCAUGGAAUAAUGAAAUAGGACGAUCGAUCCUAUUUUGUUGGUUUCUAGGAUUGACGUA
rnacentral:rRNA from 1 species